ACGGGAGGCAGCAGUGGGGAAUAUUGCACAAUGGGCGAAAGCCUGAUGCAGCGACGCCGCGUGAGUGAAGAAGUAUUUCGGUAUGUAAAGCUCUAUCAGCAGGGAAGAUAAUGACGGUACCUGACUAAGAAGCCCCGGCUAACUACGUGCCAGCAGCCGCGGUAAUACGUAGGGGGCAAGCGUUAUCCGGAUUUACUGGGUGUAAAGGGAGCGUAGACGGUAUGGCAAGUCUGAUGUGAAAACCCAGGGCUCAACCCUGGGACUGCAUUGGAAACUGUCAAACUAGAGUGCAGGAGAGGUAAGUGGAAUUCCUAGUGUAGCGGUGAAAUGCGUAGAUAUUAGGAGGAACACCAGUGGCGAAGGCGGCUUACUGGACUGUAACUGACGUUGAGGCUCGAAAGCGUGGGGAGCAAACAGGAUUAGAUACCCUGGUA
rnacentral:rRNA from 1 species